UAGCCGAGUGGUUAAGGCUAUGGAUUGCCAAUCCGGAGACGGCAGGUUCGAUUCCCGU
rfam:Aedes albopictus isolate Foshan contig86842, whole genome shotgun sequence.